CGUGGGACCGUCUGUUGUGGCUCCCCUCUCUAAUUCUUGCUCCCCAGGUGAGAGUGCUUUGUGAAUGCAAUCCACCUGGGCAAGGAUUCUGAAUGUGAGAGCUCCCAUCUUCCAUAUGGGAC
rnacentral:pre_miRNA from 8 species